rnacentral:rRNA from 1 species
UACGUAGGGCGCAAGCGUUGUCCGGAAUUAUUGGGCGUAAAGAGCUCGUAGGUGGUUUGUCGCGUCUGCCGUGAAAGCCCGGGCUUAACUCCGGGUCGUGCGGUGGAUACGGGGCAGACUAGAGGCAGGUAGGGGAGAACGGAAUUCCCGGUGUAGCGGUGAAAUGCGCAGAUAGUCGGAGGAACACCGGUGGCGAAGGCGGUUCUCUGGGCCUG